rnacentral:rRNA from 1 species
GAUCCUGGCUCAGGAUGAACGCUGGCGGCGUGCCUAACACAUGCAAGUCGAGCGAAGCACUUUGCUUAGAUUCUUCGGAUGAAGAGGAUUGUGACUGAGCGGCGACGGGUGAGUAACGCGUGGGUAACCUGCCUCAUACAGGGGGAUAACAGUUAGAAAUGACUGCUAAUACCGCAUAAGACCACAGCACCGCAUGGUNCGGGGGGUAAAAAACUCCGGUGGUAUGAGAAUGGACCCCGG